rnacentral:rRNA from 1 species
GAUGAACGCUAGCUACAGGCUUAACACAUGCAAGUCGAGGGUCAGCAUGGUCUUAGCUUGCUAAGGCCGAUGGCGACCGGCGCACGGGUGAGUAACGCGUAUCCAACCUGCCUUACACUCUUGGACAGCCUUCUGAAAGGGAGAUUAAUACAAGAUGUUAUCAUGAGUAAGCAUUUUCACAUGAUUAAAGGUUUACCGGUGUAAGAUGGGGAUGCGUUCCAUUAGAUAGUAGGCGGGGUAACGGCCCACCUAGUCUUCGAUGGAUAGGGGUUCUGAGAGGAAGGUCCCCCACAUUGGAACUGAGACACGGUCCAAACUCCUACGGGAGGCAGCAGUGAGGAAUAUUGGUCAAUGGACGAGAGUCUGAACCAGCCAAGUAGCGUGAAGGAUGAAGGUUCUAUGGAUUGUAAACUUCUUUUAUACGGGAAUAAACGGAUCCACGUGUGGAUUUUUGCAUGUACCGUAUGAAUAAGGAUCGGCUAACUCCGUGCCAGCAGCCGCGGUAAUACGGAGGAUCCGAGCGUUAUCCGGAUUUAUUGGGUUUAAAGGGAGCGUAGAUGGGUUGUUAAGUCAGUUGUGAAAGUUUGCGGCUCAACCGUAAAAUUGCAAUUGAUACUGGCAGUCUUGAGUACAGUUGAGGUAGGCGGAAUUCGUGGUGUAGCGGUGAAAUGCUUAGAUAUCACGAAGAACUCCGAUUGCGAAGGCAGCUUACUAACCUGUAACUGACAUUGAUGAUCGAAAGUGUGGGUAUCAAACAGGAUUAGAUACCCUGGUAGUCCACACGGUAAACGAUGAAUACUCGCUGUAGGCGAUAUACAGUCUGCGGCCAAGCGAAAGCAUUAAGUAUUCCACCUGGGGAGUACGCCGGCAACGGUGAAACUCAAAGGAAUUGACGGGGGCCCGCACAAGCGGAGGAACAUGUGGUUUAAUUCGAUGAUACGCGAGGAACCUUACCCGGGCUUAAAUUGCAACCGAAUAUGGCGGAAACGCUAUAGCUAGCAAUAGCGGUUGUGAAGGUGCUGCAUGGUUGUCGUCAGCUCGUGCCGUGAGGUGUCGGCUUAAGUGCCAUAACGAGCGCAACCCUUGCCGAUAGUUACUAACAGGUCAUGCUGAGGACUCUGUCGGGACUGCCAUCGUAAGAUGUGAGGAAGGUGGGGAUGACGUCAAAUCAGCACGGCCCUUACGUCCGGGGCUACACACGUGUUACAAUGGGGGGUACAGAGGGCUGCUACCACGCAAGUGGAUGCCAAUCCCAAAAACCUCUCUCAGUUCGGAUUGAAGUCUGCAACCCGACUUCAUGAAGCUGGAUUCGCUAGUAAUCGCGCAUCAGCCACGGCGCGGUGAAUACGUUCCCGGGCCUUGUACACACCGCCCGUCAAGCCAUGGGAGCCGGGGGUACCUGAAGUGCGUAACCGCAAGGAGCGCCCUAGGGUA